rnacentral:rRNA from 1 species
UGCAAGUUGAGCGAAGCUUUUUGGUAGUUUACUACUAGAAAUGACUGAGCGGCGAACGGGUGAGUAACGCGUGAGCAAUCUACCUUAGUUACUGGGAUAGCCCGAGGAAACUCGGAUUAAUACCGGAUAUUCUUAUUUUUUCACAUGAAGUUUUAAGGAAAGGUCAGCCGAACUAAGAUGAGCUCGCGUUCUAUCAGCUAGUUGGUGGGGUAAAAGCCUACCAAGGCUACGACGGAUAGCUGGUCUGAGAGGACGAUCAGCCACACUGGGACUGAGACACGGCCCAGACUCCUACGGGAGGCUGCAGCAGGGAAUAUUGUGCAAUGAGCGAAAGCUUGACACAGCGACACCGCGUGUGGGAUGACGGUUCUAGGAUUGUAAACCACUUUCAGGAGGGAAGAAAAUGACGGUACCUCCACAAGAAGACCCAGCCAACUAUGUGCCAGCAGCCGCGGUAAUACAUAGGGGUCAAGCGUUGUCCGGAUUUAUUGGGCGUAAAGAGCUCGUAGGCGGUUCAACAAGUCGGUCGUAAAAGUUUAGGGCUCAACCCUAAAAUGUCGAUCGAUACUGUUGUGACUAGGAUACGGUAGAGGUGAAUGGAAUUCCGAGUGUAGCGGUGAAAUGCGUAGAUAUUCGGAGGAACACCAAUUGCGAAGGCAGUUCCCUGGACCGUGAUCGACGCUGAGGAGCGAAAGCUAGGGGAGCAAACAGGAUUAGAUACCCUGGUAGUCCUAGCUGUAAACGAUGGAUACUAGAUGUA